rnacentral:rRNA from 1 species
UACGAAGGGGACUAGCGUUGUUCGGAAUCACUGGGCGUAAAGCGCACGUAGGCGGAUGUGUCAGUCAGGGGUGAAAUCCCGGGGCUCAACCUCGGAACUGCCUUUGAUACAGCACGUCUCGAGUCCGGAAGAGGUGGGUGGAAUUCCUAGUGUAGAGGUGAAAUUCGUAGAUAUUAGGAAGAACACCGGUGGCGAAGGCGGCCCACUGGUCCGGUACUGACGCUGAGGUGCGAAAGCCAGGGGAGCAAACGGG